CUACCAGAGGCGUGGAGGAAGGGAGGCAGAAUCGCGAGAUUGAGGAGGUACUGUGACUGUCAUUGCUGCUGCGAGUGUGAUCCAUCGUCGAGCUGCACGCCGCCAUCACCAUCGGAAACUACCGUUAGAACCACUACUUUUUUGCUGCGACCGAGGUCGUUGGUGCUUGUCAAGAGUACUAUUAUGGUUUUGAAUCGAUUAGUUCAUGCCACUGCUGCUGACGAGGGGUG